AGCUCCAAUAGCGUAUAUUAAAGUUGUUGCAGUUAAAAAGCUCGUAGUUGGAUUUCUGGUGAGUUCGUUUGGCCGGCCGUAAAGGUCUGUGCCGAAAUGUUAUUCGCCAUCCUUGGUGUAAUCUUGUCCGCCAUUAAGUUGUGUGGGCUUGAGGAUGCCAUCGUUUACUGUGAAAAAUUAGAGUGUUCAAAGCAGGCUUAUGCCGUUGAAUACAUUAGCAUGGAAUAAUAAGAUAGGACCCUGGUACUAUUUUGUUGGUUUGCGUACCUAGGUAAUGAUUAAUAGGGACAGUUGGGGGUAUUUGUAUUCCGUUGUCAGAGGUGAAAUUCUUGGAUUUACGGAAGACAAACUACUGCGAAAGCAUUUACCAAGGAUGUUUUCA
rnacentral:rRNA from 1 species